rnacentral:rRNA from 1 species
CCUACGGGUGGCAGCAGUGGGGAAUAUUGCACAAUGGGCGCAAGCCUGAUGCAGCCAUGCCGCGUGUGUGAAGAAGGCCUUCGGGUUGUAAAGCACUUUCAGCGGGGAGGAAGGCGUUAAGGUUAAUAACCUUGGCGAUUGACGUUACCCGCAGAAGAAGCACCGGCUAACUCCGUGCCAGCAGCCGCGGUAAUACGGAGGGUGCAAGCGUUAAUCGGAAUUACUGGGCGUAAAGCGCACGCAGGCGGUCUGUCAAGUCGGAUGUGAAAUCCCCGGGCUCAACCUGGGAACUGCGUUCGAAACUGGCAGGCUAGAGUCUUGUAGAGGGGGGUAGAAUUCCAGGUGUAGCGGUGAAAUGCGUAGAGAUCUGGAGGAAUACCGGUGGCGAAGGCGGCCCCCUGGACAAAGACUGACGCUCAGGUGCGAAAGCGUGGGGAGCAAACAGGAUUAGAUACCCUUGUAGUC